CGUCAACGUCGCUGUUGCUGCCGUCCAGGAUGAGCUGCUCAGCCUGCUACUCCACGAGACUCCUUAGCAACAGCUGAAGAGAGGUUUCAUGGGAACAAGCACCCAUCGUUGUUGUCGCCGUUAGCACCGUCCCUUAACUGCGACCCUUUGGACCCUUUGCUGAUCCAGCUCCCAGAAGGGGAAGGGAAGUGGUUUCUCUCUGUCGAGGAGGACAAACAGAGAUAGAGGAGGCAGAUGUGAUAUGCUUGGCAUUAUGCUGUGAGGAUAGAGGGCCAUGGAUCUGGAUGUGGAGAUUGUGAAAGUCCAUGUGACGUUCGUGUCAAGAUGAGCGGCCGUUCCUGCUGACAUUGUGUCAACUAGAUGGUUGUAUUCUUAAAACUUAUCAAUCAAUUGGAGUCGGUUUCUAUAAUUGUUUUCCCUUUAGAAGUUUUUAACCUGCUUAAUGCUUAUUGUUCAGAAAUUUAGGUGCUCUUUUGUCAGAGACCGCUUGAUGGUUUGGUUGGGACUCUAUGAUUUAGCCUAUUAUUGGUGGCAACUAAUUAGGCAUCGAUACUGUGAAUCAGUAAACACUUGCAACAGGACUAUUUUUUUAACUUCCGGACAUUUUUAUUUAUGUGAAAAAUACUUUGUUUGGCGAUACACUAAUUCAGAAUAUUCAUGCUUCAAUUCCUCAUGAACUUUAUUCCUCUAUCCUUUUUUAUGUGUACUAACGUGUCUUUUUCUCUAUCCUUUUUCCUGUAUACUAAUGUGUCUUUAUUUAGUGCAAUGCCGAGGUUUCCUCCAUGCUUCCAUACAAUGUCGGAGUACAUCAGAUGUUGCAGUCUGUUCAUCCUGGAUAGUGCUGAGGAUGAAUACAAACUUAUAUGUAAUUGGUUGGUGCUUGCUUUACAUAAGACGGCCACUGUUCCACUUCUGUUUUUUUUUUACUUGGUCCUGUACAUGUCUACCGUGUUGUAGUUAAAGUUUCUGAUGUACACUUGUUCCAGCCACAAACAUGGAAGCAAGUUGUUCCUAUAAACCCAUGAUACCCACAAACAUUUUUAGAUCGAUAUUUACAAAAGUGUCAUGUCGAUCAUUACUCACAAACCCAGCCACAGCCAUAUGCUAAACAUGAAUUUCUACUAACUUAGCAUUACCUACUUGACCAAACGUUUGGACCGGCACCCUCGCGU